ACUCUGACUCAGCAUAUAAACCAGGCUCUGGGCAGAACUGUUUGGGUGAGGAUUGAUUCUCAGAUGAAGCUUGCAGAACCAACUUUCCCCUUUCUCGGUCUCAAUGUGCCAAUCAGACUCUGAUUGCACAGUCACCUCCAACUAGAUCUAACUGCCCUGCAUGUAGAGUGAAGCGGCUUUCCUGGGUGAGUCAACCUGACAGUCUGCUAAUGGCGAGGUAGCACGGAGUGCAGCUCCUGGGCUGAUAACUGAAGAGAAUUGGUUUGUUAGUCAAUGUUCCUAUGCCACACCAAAAGCAGAAAACAAAACAAACAAACAAAAAAAAGAAUUGCUUACAGGCCAGCCAAUCUACAGAGGGCUUGUGUGACAAUUAGGACACAUGGAAAGCUAGAGGAAAAGACAGAGGAGAGUAGACAGAGAAGGGGACAGAGGACCUUCUGUGGUUCUGCAAGGAGUGAUCAUACUGGCUGCAAGAGGAUCCAUGGGAGCUGGGCAAGCACAGCAUUUGGACAGCUUCAAUGUUGUGAAUUCAGUUGGAUGGGAAUAUUCAGAAAAACCAAACUGACAGAUCCAGGAAAUAACUUUUUGGUCUUUCUAAUGUUCUGUUUCCUAGAUUCAAAGAACCCAUGUUCUCUUUACCCUGGAGCUUUCUGAAACUUUGGCAAAGUAUGCUUUUGUAAACAAAAUGAGCCGAGAAGCUCUUAUUGCAUAGUCUAACGUUUGUGGAAUGUUGUGAUUUGUGUAAAUUCAUGGCAGCUCUGUUCUCACUAACAGGACACAGUGGUGGGUCCUCGGCCCAGAGGAGCUUUUAAAAGCCUAAUUGGAGACUCCUUGUUUCCAGAAAGUUCUAAUGGGGUAUGGUUGACCUUAUAGAGCCAGUGGGCCUCCCUGGACAUCACUGGUGCUGACUUGAAGUUCUUUUGCGGGACUGGGCAAAUACUUUGGUUUAAUGAAACUAGAUUUACUCGGCUUAGUCACCUGUGUCUGCCUUUGGCAGGAGUAGGUGAUCUCAGGGAGAAACCUGGUUAGUAGAGAACACCGAUGCCCCCGACAAUGACUCAAGCCCUACUUAGUAUCUUCAACUUUCAUUUUAUUUCUAAACCAUUUUCUUCCAACAUCUUCCUAUGACUAUUCAAGAUAACCUUCCAUUUUUAUUCCAUUAGAAUUUUUAAUCACUGGAAAAUGGGGCUGCCCCUUUCUUCUAAGCCUGAAAAUUGGAUCUAGAAAAGCUACUUCAAGCUUUGAAGAAAUCACCACUCCCACAUUGGCUGGCAAUUGUCAGGCUGUGCUGCAUAGCCACUCUUCUAGGACACAUGAUGCCACCACCAAGGAUAUUCUAGCCGAAACUACAAUAACUAUCAGCUGAUACUGCCCCUCCACCCCAUGCAACUUAGAGAAACAUUUGUUAAGUCUCUAAGUGCACCAUACAGACAGUUAACUUGGGAGGAAGCCCUAUAGUGCUGUCUUCUGAAUCGACACCUGUAUCAAGUGAAUACGGAUUCCUCAACUAAAGCAAUUGUUCACAGACUGUUUCUAACUGGUGUCAAUAUUUUCUGGAGGUUGUUAUUCUUUUGUUCUGGACUGUGUCUAUAUCCAAACAAGCUACAGAGGAGAGCUGAACAGCCACAGCAACACCCAUGGUCCCAGUCUCUUUUUAUGCCCCUCCCCAGUAAAAUGGAAGAGAGAGCACUUUUAGCUCCGCUGAGGCUUGAUGGAGAUAGUCUACAGGCAGAACUGGCCAUGGUGCUGAUGACUGGAGCCAAGAGGAUGAGGUCUACCACUGUUCAUAGCCACUGUUUCAAAUCUGAUGAAGCCUGUAGGCAUAAGGCUUUUGUGCACUGCGUAAAGGUUGUCCUUGUAUUAUUCAAAUGCUUAUUUCCCUGCCCUCAUUUCUUAUUUCAAUCUGGAUAUGGCAUUGUAAUGCUUAGGUCAAUAAACUACCCCCAGCCC
ensembl:processed_transcript Gm20658 predicted gene 20658